AACUCAUCUCUUGGGGGAAACCGCCUUCUCCCAGCUGAUGCUUUUCCAUUGUUCCAGGAAGGUAUCGGGUUGGUUUUAUCUCGUUGGUCUGCCCUUCAGUUGGCAGUGGAAAAUGAGUGGGGUGGUCGUGACUCUCGUCGUAAAGUCGAACUAUUAUGCUCCGACAUUUUCACAUGGUUUACUCAGAGCAAAGAGCCACUAUAUAUUGAUGAUUUAGAAAUGAUUCUUGAUGAAGCUAUGCUUUCAUUGAAUACUCAGGUUGAUGACGGUAGCAUUGAGGAGGUAGCUGAAAGAUUGAU
rnacentral:misc_RNA from 1 species